rnacentral:rRNA from 1 species
UACGUAGGUGGCAAGCGUUGUCCGGAAUUAUUGGGCGUAAAGAGCUCGUAGGCGGUUUGUCGCGUCUGCUGUGAAAACUCAGGGCUUAACCCUGAGCCUGCAGUGGGUACGGGCAGACUAGAGUGUGGUAGGGGAGAUCGGAAUUCCUGGUGUAGCGGUGGAAUGCGCAGAUAUCAGGAGGAACACCGGUGGCGAAGGCGGCUCACUGGACCGGUUCUGACGCUGAGGCGCGAAAGCGUGGGGAGCAAACGGGUAGUAAGCAACCUGAGUACGUCCGAGACCAACGUCUC